UACGUAGGUGGCAAGCGUUGUCCGGAUUUACUGGGCGUAAAGGGCGUGCAGGCGGUCUGUUAAGUCUAGGGUGAAAGCUCCCGGCUCAACUGGGAGAGGUCCUUGGAUACUGGCGGACUUGAGGGAGGCAGAGGGAAGUGGAAUUCCCGGUGUAGUGGUGAUAUGCGUAGAUAUCGGGAGGAACACCAGUGGCGAAGGCAGGUCUCUGGGCCGAUACUGACGCUGAGGAGCGAAAGCGUGGGGAGCGAACAGG
rnacentral:rRNA from 1 species